rnacentral:lncRNA from 1 species
GGGUACUGUUGGUGCAAAAAUCUGCCUGCACCGGAGAAGCUGGAGUCAAGGGAGUCGCGGUCGUCGCCGGGACCUGCAAAAGAAGUCUAAAUUGGAGGUGGGGUUGAUCCGACAAGACCCUCCGAUGCUCAAGUCAGUUCUCUGCCUUAACAAGAAUGGAGUGCUUGAACAAAAAUUUUAGCAGAGUUUUUGGGAUAGAAAAUAGAGCUUAGAGAAUAACGUAUCUG